UUUUUUUUGGUUAUAUAGCUCGAGUUUUUUUUUUUUUUUUUUUUAGUUUAAAAAAAAAAAAUUUGAAAUAUCAUCCGGUGGAAAAAGAGAGUGACUCGUGAGAGUUGAGAGAAAAGUAGAGGGCUGCAGUUUUUUUUGGUUAUAUAGCUCGAGUUUUUUUUUUUUUUUUUUUUGAGUUGAAAAAAUAAAAAUUUGAAAUAUCAUCCGGUGGAAAAACCCGAGCGGAUUAUCUCCGAUACUUGACCCGGAUCACCCGAUCACAUAGGGUCGGAUACUAAAUUUAAGAAAACAUUUUUAUAACAUUAAAUUCCAAACAGAGUUCAAAACGGCAAGGGACUCGAAACGUAACCUCGUAUUGUUGUUUGUUUGUCUUCUGUCUCUCCUCUGGACUUUCGACAAGAAGUAAUCAUAUCUUUUGCCCUGCACUUCUGUUUUGGCUUUUUGGCUUAUCUGUUAUGUUGUUAUCUCCAACGAUAAGAAUUCUAAACGGCAGUCACUAAUUGUCGUUUCAUUAAAAAUUCUCAAAGAAAUUCAAAAAACAAAAAAGCUUUUGUCAAUGGAGGAGGAAGGAUACGUACGUUACCCUAAAAUCGAACUCGAUUACUGCCACCCGGACCUCUUCUCUAAACCGGUGAUUUUCCUUUUCUUUUUUUUUUUGUUUUUUGAAAUUUCUUUAUUUUUCUGCUUGGUUCCUGAGAAAAAAUGAAAGAAAAUAUAAAAGAAAAUGCUUGGUAUUUUAGCUAACUAAAUAAUAUAUGUUUAUCAGCAAUUAAAAGUAAUAAGAAGAUUAAACUUUAUUGAAUUUAAUUUGAAUGGCUUUAAUAUUUUGGUAACUGGGUUACUGGUUUAUUUAUUAAAGCACAUUUUUCUUUUUCACCAUAAGGUAAUUAAUUGUCACAUGGUUUUUACAGCGGAUAAAAAAUUUGUUUUGAGUAUCUUCAGAGUUGGUUUAUAUUUUAUAUAGGUUGAGGAACGCAGAGAAACUAAGCUGAUGCAAACUAGUGAUUUUCGCCAAGAAGGAAAUAUGCAGCAGAGAGAAUUUGGAAGUGAAGCACCUCGAGGCACUAAGGAGGGCAAUGAGGAUCAAAAUAUUUUGGGCGUUUGCAGUCAGAAAAAGGGUAAAGUUUUCUAUUACGAUACACCUCUUUCUGAAGAAACUGGAGCUUGGAUUCCUGUCUCAGUUCUACCUAUGUCAGAAGGUGAGCAAGAAGAAUGGAGUACAGGUCUUGUUGUUGAUGGGGGAUGCUUCCCCGAUGGAGACCGGGGUUGGAAUCAGUUUAAUGGAGGAAAUAAGGAGAUGACAAUGUGGGAUGUGGUUAGUGAGAUGUUAGUUGCAGCUCGAGGGAAAGUAAAUGCUAUUGCUUCGGGUGAUGUCAAUAGAUGUAGAAUCUCUUGGGUAUCUUAUCUUCUUCUUGAGGAUGCUUGGAAAGAGAUGGCUCAAAUUCUUAAUGAAGCUAAUUUUGGUAACGUCAGGGAGCUUCUGGAAGCAGAGCCACCGAAAUGGUUGCCUGAUAGUGCCGCUGCUGCUUGCAUGUUGUGUAAUGUACGGUUCCAUCCUAUCAUGUGCUCUAGGCACCACUGCCGUUUCUGUGGAGGGAUAUUUUGUAAUGAAUGCUCUAAGGGUAGGAAUUUGUUGCCAACAAAGUUCCAUACUGGGAACCCACAACGAGUGUGUGAUGUAUGCUGUGUGCGGCUAGAGUCUAUCCAAUCUCAUUUGAUGGAAACAGUUAGUCGUGCUGCUCAGGUGCCUGCCCAAGAUCUGACUGACCUGAGUACUCUGAGAUCGUGGCUUAACUUUCCAUGGGGCCAAUCCAUGGAAUAUGAGAUUUACAAGGCAGCAAACACAAUACGGGGUUAUAAUAAGGUAUUGAUUCUGUGUUUUGAGUAUUUUGGAAGUUCAACCCUAUUGACCCAUUGAUACACUUGAUUUAUUGGACAGUUUUUUCAAAAUAUUGAUAAGACUAGCACAUACACGUAAUGAAUUACUUUUUCAAAAAUGUCUGGCUAUUUUGAGUUAAAAUUGCGAAGCCUGUUGUUUGAGCAGACUCAAAAUAAAGCUAAUUGACUCAGAUGGGUGCUUUUGAGCCUGAAAGGAGUUGCAAAUUUGCAAUGGCCAUGCUCUUCUUUGUCAACCAGUGGCUUAAUAUGGGUUCCUGCCUUUCUAACGUGUCUAUCCCUCGUCAACAGUAGACUAUGAAAAUGUAAAACAUGUUAAUGAAGUACUCAACUACUUUUUCGGUAGAGCCUGUAAAUUUGUUUUUUGUAACAUAGUUUAGCAUUGGUCAGGUUGGUUCUCUGAAACCUGAGAAGUCCAUACCAAAUGCUAUUUUAAAACGAGCAAAGGGCCUUGCUGUCCUUACUGUUGCAAAGGUUGGGGUGAUGGUGACCUACAAUGUUGGAACAGGGCUAGUUAUUGCUCGUAGAGAAGAUGGAUCUUGGUCUCCACCAUCAGCCAUUUCAUCCUUUGGUAUUGGCUGGGGAGCUCAGGUAAACUAACUUUAUUUCAUUUUGUCCAUAUAAGUUUUCUAGUAGGUCAGAGGGUAUUUUGGGGAUAUCAUUAGCUGCUUAAUGCACUCCCCUUAUUCUAUUUCUCUUAAAUUGUGUGGAAAAGAAAAUAGCUUUUUUCAUUUUGUCCUAGGUGGUAAACCAAUACUUCAUUGAUUUACUUAGUUACUACACAUUAUUGUUUACAAAAUUGAAUUUACUGUUUUAACGUUUCCAAACCAUGCAUCUUCACUUUUUAGCUUUCAGUGCUAGAGUGCAGGCAUGCUUCUCUCUGUAAUUGCUUUCACAGUUGGUAGAUUUAAAUCGGUCUUUAAAUUUUGAUGUAGAAUUGCUGAAAUUUCUAGUUUCACCCUUUUCUACCACCAGUCUGUAGUCGUUAAGUAAAGACAUACUUUUCGAUCCAUAUAGAGAACUUUUGGAUUUUCAUUCUUUAUUUUAUGCAUGCUUUGAAACUCAAUUCUUUCUUAAUAUCAAACAGGCUGGAGGUGAAUUCACCGAUUUCAUAAUUGUUUUAAGAACCAAAAGUGCUGUCAAAACAUUUUGUGGAAACAUGCACUUCUCCUUUGGGGCUGGCUUGAGUGCUGCGGCUGGCAUUGUUGGACGGGCUGCUGAAGUUGAUGUUCGUGCUGGUGUUGGGGGUUAUGCUGCUUGCUAUACUUACAGCUGCAGUAAAGGUGAGAUUCUCUUCCCUAACAAUCUUAUGAAUAUUCAGUCAAAUCAGUCCGUAGUGGUUUUGUUUACUCGAGUCCUUGUAAAUUAGACAAGCUCGUUUUUUCUGUUCACACAUCAACAGAGCAAGUGUCCUUUUUCUAUUUGUGUAACUUUUUGAAUGUAUUUAGCAGUCAUUCGAUUUGUGGUGAGAUUUUCCAGUUUUUGAGACCUCAAGUCAUAUAUCCUAGCACAAAAUGCUUUUUCUGUACUUUGAACGGUUAUAUAGUGAUUUAAUUCAGUGAUAUCCGUGUGUGUGUGUGUGUGUGUGUGUGUGCAUAUAUAUAUGCAUGUCUAUAUGUACUCAAAACCUACUGUUCACCAUGUACAAUGUUGAGUAUAUCGUUUUUUAGAUCUGGGUGAGAUGUGGGGAGUGUGGAUAUGCCGCUUUUGCCACAUAUGUUAGUGAAGUUAUCAUAUUUUUACCGUACUACACAUAAAUGUUAGCUUUUUCAAUAUAUUUGUGAUGCCUCUAUAUAUUGCCUUGACUUUGACUUAUAGGUUUCCAGAAAUGCUCUAUCAUCUUAACUAGAUUAUCUGAGGAUGGAUAGACUGUGUGAGGGAGACUGGUAUAGUGUUGGAUGUUAGUCCACAUUGUCUUUAUUCUUCCUGAUCUUUGGUUCAUGAAAUGAGUCCUUUAUAGUUGAAGUUUUAGUUAAACUACUAUGAAUUUUUUUUUUUUUUUGCCUCUUUUUUGGGAUAGGGUUAAACUACUCUGAUUUGGAAGAUAUAAUUUUCUCACAAUCAUUGUCCAGAUGAAUCUUGAUUUAAGUUAGAGCAUAAUUAACCAAGAGGUUCAAACCACUGGCAACAAGGUGGAGAGGAGUCAUACCUAGAUUUAUGUUUAAACCCUUAAAUUUCCGGGAGCACUUGGUAUCUCUGACUGCAACCACUACUUGGUUCGUUAUGCUCAGGAUUUUUAUUUUCAUCCAGAUGAUACUAUAAACAUGCUAUUGACAGCAUGUAGUCCAAGCUUAAUUGAAUCUUUCAUCAGUUCGUUGUAUGCUUCAACUGAUGCAGCAUGUCUCUAUAGUUGUGUUGAACGUUGCUGACAUUUUGAUCAUCCAUGCAGGUGCAUUUGUUGGUUGCUCACUUGAAGGGAGUAUUGUCGCUACUCGGGCAGAAGAAAAUUCUAGGUUCUAUGGUAAUCCAUCUAUAUGUGCAUCUGCUAUUCUUCUCGGGUCAUUGCCUAGACCUCCCGCCGCUGCCAUUCUGUAUCAUGCUCUCUCAGACCUAUUUGAAAAGGUUGAGCGCUGAUCACUACAUUUUGGGUUGAACAAAUAUUCAACAGUUCUUUCCUGAAAAUAUAGCUGAUGAAAUUGUGGCCUGGACCCAUGAAAUCUUAUCCUGCUCUUAUCUUUGUGAUUUCGUUAUCUGCGUCCUUGUUUACAUGAUCAAACCAAGAAAUUGCCAAAUUGGUUUCCCAUUAGCGUAGAUGAGGCAGAAGAAAAUGGUACACAACUUGGUGGAGACUGCUAGCAUGUGUAAAUUUGCAUGGUCUAGCAACUCUAGUUUCAUUGCUCAAGUACAUAUUACUUUUUGUGGUGAUUGUUUUACUCCACAUUUUAUUUUACAGUUUAUAUGGCCGGUAUUUUCUGUGGAUGGUAUUUAAUAUUGAAGUGCUGAAAAAAAUUGUAAUUAUGAAAUAAAAGUUCAUAGUAUGUAAUAAAUAUAAUUUUUAAGUGAUUUUUUUUAAAAAAAGUAAAAAUUUUAUAAAUUUUUUACUGUAUAAAUAUUUGAUUAAAUCAACUUAAUUUUGAAGUUGCAACAGUUUGCAUUUUAUUAAAUAUUUUAAUAUUACAAUUUAAAAGUUACAGGUGUGAACUUCAAAACUAAACAAGACAAGUCUGUUUCUCUCGUAAAAAAUUCGAACAACAUUAUUAUUAGGAUUCAAUUCUCUUAUCAAUGUACAUAAAACUCAAAAUUAUUUUGUAGAAACUUAUUAAUCAUUAGAAAUGUUCAUAUUGGGGACUGGGCAUGAUAAAUAAUUGAUUCAAUGCAAUAAUUUACAGCAUUUGCAGAUGUUUUGGCAUAACUUGACCAACAUCAAAUAUUAAGUAAAAAGAAAGUGGUUUUAUGCUGUCAAUAUCUCAAGAGGACGAUUCAAUGGCCAUAGCCAUUCUACAGAGACCCACCUUGUGCUCAUGAUGAACAAUUUGAAUCCAAUAUGCAAUAAUUAUUAUUUAUGCAAAGUUAGUACUUCGGACCACUUACCCAUUUGUUUGAUAUUGAGCACAGAAUAUCUGUGUCUCUGCUGCAAAAUAUCAUGCCACCUUUAAUUUGUCCACUUUUGUUACCCUUGUUUUUUUUAAUUUUUAUUUUUUAAAUAUGUUUGUUUGCAAGUCAAAUUUUGCAUAAUUAUUUGAGUUAAACUUUUUGGUGUUAUCUCAGUUGACUGCAAUCUCCACGCUGUAUUUUAACUUGGAUUAGGUUAAAGGAGACAAACAACUCCAAGAUUUCAUGGAUAAUUCGGAAUAAAUUUCUACCGAAUUCACUUCAAGCUUGUCAAUUUGCACAACAAACUCAUGUUAUUUAUCUGCGAGAAAGUUGAAUCAUUGCGACAUUCGUACACGCAAGAGCUACGUAUGAAGAUUCAAGUAAUUAACCAUUUGACUAAAACCACAACUUUGACACUCAUUUUCUCCAUGUAACAAUUCAAUUUUCAAGUCAAAAUGUAUGUUUUUCAGCGAGCUUAUGCCUGAGAGAUUUUCAAGCAAUUUUAUUUUAAUUUACCCACAUCUUUAACGAGCUUUAGUGUUUUCUUAAGCAUUUUCUAAUAAUUAACUCAGUGAUUCCUCCAAGUUUUGAAGGUAAUUUUUCAGGCAACAUGGAUUCUACAAAGUUCAAGCCGACGAUACUCCGAGAAGAAUGGCAAGUUGGCUACAAAAAACCAGCAAAAGACUUAAUAGUUGAUUCAGCCAAAUCAUUUAUGUCGAAAUCGAUAGCAACAGUGAAUUCCAAAUCUGCAACAGGGGCUUGAAUUGAUAAUUGAACCACCACGAUAAUUGAUAAUGAAUGGAUUGGCACACGGGCCAGGUCUGGACGAAAGUGUGAUUGAAUUCGGUAAAUGGCGAGGGCAAACGGACCCAUAUUCUGGCUGUUUUGUUCGUAUCAGGUAGGCACCACUUACACUGGUGGGAUAUUGGUCAAAAGAUAGUGAAAAGGCACAUUCAAAGAGACAAGAAAAACUGUAGCCAAUUUCAGUUUCUAGCACUUCAGCAGCAAGGUAGUGGUGUUUUGGUCAUUGUCCUAAUCCCUAACCUACAAAGUGCUUUUCAAUUCUAUUUGCAGCAGUAAACAAACAAAUUCGGAUCACCUAUGACAGCUAGUAAUGAACAGCCAAAAGAAAAGUGGAAUGCAUAACAAAUAUAUCACAUAAUAAUGUCAAUGAAAUGUACAAAAGGCAACAAUAAAAGCCAAUUCUAUCCAUUUUUUCGCAAAAGGUUCUGCCACUGAGUUACAAUCCAAUUCAAUGGUCAUCUAGUAUUCCUUCCAAUGGCAGACAGCUAAUCCAUACAUAUAUCAGUUUCUUCUUAAAUGAAAGGGUUUUGAAACCACCCCAAGAUGGGCAAAACCUUGAAAAACUAGCUACUUAUAAUUUUGGGCUUC
rnacentral:lncRNA from 1 species